UUAACUUACCUUUGUUUUUUUUCAUGUACUACAUGCAUUUUGCCUGUUAUGCAAGUAUUGCUGUUAUUUUACUGUUACCAUAAUCCAUCUAUUGUUCUUCUUUACUAAUCUGUUGUUUUCCUUGGAGUUCUGUCUUUGAACUGUUUUGUUUCAUUUUUGCAGUGCUGUGGAAAUAAACCCAGGCCACACAUGCUAGGCAAGAGAGAUCUACAACUGAACUUUUUUUUUAAUUAACUGUUCUCUGUGUCCCUUGCUUUUUUUUUUUGCCCCCCUCCCUCUAGUUUUCCUUUUUUGCUAGAUAAAGGAUACAGUGAGUAGCUUCAAUCAUAAUUCUGAAAAUUCCUCCAUGGCUGAAUGCCUUGUAUUUUACUUCUAGAAUUGCUUUGUCUGGCAUAUACUACUAGGUUUAUAAUUAGGAUUUUGAAGACAAUGUCUUCUAGCUUCUAGGGGCUUUUGAAAUUUCAAAUGUCAGUCUGCUGUGUACAUCCUUGGAACAGAAAAAUUAGAAUAUCCUUGAACAGUGUUGUCAAACCCUUCACAUUUGAAUUGGGCAAGUGAAUUGCUUAAGGAUAAGCAGGAAAAAUUGUUGAGUCCUGUGAAAGAGGUAUACAGUAUGGGAGCUCAGAAUGAACAUACUGUGUUCAGCCAAAGAAAUCAGGAUAGACAAUGUGAAGUUACGUAUUUCAGCGGGGUGUAAAGAAUGCAGAAAGGAGAGGGCAUUCUAGGUAGAGGGUACUGUAAAGGAGGAGAAGUGUAGAGCAUCUAUGGGGAACAGGUGAUGACUUGGUAGGUGAUAGAGUGUAGUUGGAUAUAAAGUUAGGAAGCCAAGUUUAGGUCAAUUUAAAGAGAUUUGAGUGGUUUAAUGAUGAAGAUAAUGAUAAUGACAAUGACAGCUGACAUUUCUUGAACAUUUACUAAUGCAAGUCACUGUUCAGAAUGCCGUAUGUGAAUUAACUCAUAUCACAGUUAGCACCCUAUAAUAUCAGUGCUGUUAUUUCUCUUUUACGGUUGAAGAAGCUGUGAAUGUCAAAUAAGUUGUCCUAGGUCACAUAGCUAGAACAUGGUAGAACCAGAAAUUAUAUUCAGUCUGGCUCUAGAUCCUGUAUUGUUAACCCUGUGCUAUAGUGCAUUUAGUCUGUAGCUGUUGGGGGGUCAGAAAGUUUUCCUUUUUCUUUCGUUGUAAUCCAGGGAGUGGCUGAUCAGAGCUGUGUUGUAUGGAGGUUAAACUCUUAGUGAUGUCUAGCUAAGCUAGAUUUGGGGAGGGAAAUUGUACUUGGUGCUUCUCGUAGUCAUUAACAGAAAGGAUAGAAAGGUUUCAGACAGUCUGUCUAAAAGGAACAGAUCACUCUAAAGUAAGGUGAGAUCAUUUCAGCCGACUCCAAAAUUAGUGUCAAAUAUCACAGUCAGUUUCUGUAAAUGGGCCAAAUGACAGGCAAAAAGAGAACCAAAAUAGCAGAUUUUUGUUCUGUUUGAAAAUUUUUCAAAAGAUUUUGAUGUGUUAUUAGCCAUAAUUGUUUUUGUGCUUUGCUUCAUUUGAAAUGAUUGUUAGAGUUUUAACUCAGAAUUUUUGUUUUAUGAACUCAUAUGCUAAAAGAAUGGAAAUGGAGUCACUGUGAAUAUUUCAUUAGAAAUUACUGGUUUUGGCCUCAUUGAAUUUCAGCUGCAUAAUAUGUCAUUUCUAAUUCUUUGACAUUCAGUUCAGGCAUAGUUCACAUGUGAAAUUGAAGAUGUCUUUUAAAUGCUUUGCAUUUUGGUUACUGCUGCCAUGCAGACUGCAGGCGCACAUUCCAGGGAGUUCAUAUAUGGUUUGGAAAACUUUGUCUACAAGGACAUCAAGCCUGAUAAGACAAAAAGGAUACAUUUUUGGAAAAAUUGGCAAUUCAAGUAAUAAAAAAUGUACAAGUAAAAGACAUUCAUAUUAAAUAUGAAGAUGAUGUUUUUUAGAUUGCAGCCUUGAUUGCACUUUUGUUAAAAGAACUGGUAGUAUUCACAGCCUUAAAAGCUCAAGUGGUGUGCGUUUAGUUGAAUGUUCCAACAGAGCUCAGUUUCUUCUACUUGUGGCUGUUGAAGCAGGCAGACCCCUGGUAUGAUGCUCUCUGUUGCUGAAAGAAACUCCUUUGUUGCUAUCUCAGGGUACUGAACCAUGGCUGCAAUUAGAAACCACCUGGGGAAUGUUCCUUCACAAAAUGCUGAAACCUGGAACCCUGGAGAUGGGAUUUAAGUGCUAUGUACUGGGGCUUUGGCAUUUGUGGGGUUUUUUGUUUCCCUUUCAAAGCCUAGUGAUGAUUCUUAUGCACAGCAAAGAUUAAACAACACUAAGCUGUGGUAUUCAUUGUAGUAGAUCUGUCCUUCAGUUUCAAUUUGCAAAUUCAAGAGCUCGAAUGUGUGCAUUCCUGUGUGGCUUGUGACAAAAUGUUAACAUUUUCCCCAUGCUUACUCUUUACAUUCACUAAUCAAACCUGUUUUCUCUACUACCGAAUUUAAUAUUUUCUUUUACUUCUCUUUGGGAUUGUUUCA